AGAGUUUGAUCCUGGCUCAGGAUGAACGCUGGCGGCGUGCUUAACACAUGCAAGUCGAGCGAAGCGCUUAAGUUUGAUUCUUCGGAUGAAGACUUUUGUGACUGAGCGGCGGACGGGUGAGUAACGCGUGGGUAACCUGCCUCAUACAGGGGGAUAACAGUUAGAAAUGACUGCUAAUACCGCAUAAGACCACGGUACCGCAUGGUACAGUGGUAAAAACUCCGGUGGUAUGAGAUGGACCCGCGUCUGAUUAGGUAGUUGGUGGGGUAACGGCCUACCAAGCCGACGAUCAGUAGCCGACCUGAGAGGGUGACCGGCCACAUUGGGACUGAGACACGGCCCAGACUCCUACGGGAGGCAGCAGUGGGGAAUAUUGCACAAUGGAGGAAACUCUGAUGCAGCGACGCCGCGUGAAGGAUGAAGUAUUUCGGUAUGUAAACUUCUAUCAGCAGGGAAGAAAAUGACGGUACCUGACUAAGAAGCCCCGGCUAACUACGUGCCAGCAGCCGCGGUAAUACGUAGGGGGCAAGCGUUAUCCGGAUUUACUGGGUGUAAAGGGAGCGUAGACGGCACGGCAAGCCAGAUGUGAAAGCCCGGGGCUCAACCCCGGGACUGCAUUUGGAACUGCUGAGCUAGAGUGUCGGAGAGGCAAGUGGAAUUCCUAGUGUAGCGGUGAAAUGCGUAGAUAUUAGGAGGAACACCAGUGGCGAAGGCGGCUUGCUGGACGAUGACUGACGUUGAGGCUCGAAAGCGUGGGGAGCAAACAGGAUUAGAUACCCUGGUAGUCCACGCCGUAAACGAUGACUGCUAGGUGUCGGGUGGCAAAGCCAUUCGGUGCCGCAGCUAACGCAAUAAGCAGUCCACCUGGGGGAGUACGUUCGCAAGAAUGAAACUCAAAGGAAUUGACGGGGACCCGCACAACCGGGGGAGCAUGUGGGUUUAAUUCCAAGCAACGCGAAGAACCUUACCUGGUCUUUGAAUCCCCAUGACCGCUUCUUAAAGGGAACUUUUUUUCGGACAACCGUGGACAGGGGGUGCCGGGGUUGCCGUCACUCCUGCUCGGGGAAGAUAGUGUGUUAAUUCCCCCAACGGGGGGACCCCCAUCUUCAGUAGCCAGCAGGUUAAGCUGGGCACUCUGGAGAGACUGCCAGGGAUAACCUGGAGGAAGGUGGGGAUGACGUCAAAUCAUCAUGCCCCUUAUGACCAGGGCUACACACGUGCUACAAUGGCGUAAACAAAGAGAAGCGAACUCGCGAGGGUAAGCAAAUCUCAAAAAUAACGUCUCAGUUCGGAUUGUAGUCUGCAACUCGACUACAUGAAGCUGGAAUCGCUAGUAAUCGCAGAUCAGAAUGCUGCGGUGAAUACGUUCCCGGGUCUUGUACACACCGCCCGUC
rnacentral:rRNA from 1 species